rnacentral:rRNA from 1 species
GACGUAGGGGGCGAGCGUUGUCCGGAUUUAUUGGGCGUAAAGCGCGCGCAGGCGGUUCGGAUAGUCGGGUGUGAAAGCCCGGGGCUUAACCCCGGGUCUGCAUUCGAUACGGGCAGGCUAGAGUGUGGUAGGGGAGAUCGGAAUUCCUGGUGUAGCGGUGAAAUGCGCAGAUAUCAGGAGGAACACCGGUGGCGAAGGCGGCCUGCUGGGACAAUGCUGACGCUGAGGCGCGACAGCGUGGGGAGCAAACAGG